GAUCAUAGCUCAGGAUGAACGCUGGCGGCGUGCUUAACACAUGCAAGUCGAGCGAAGCACUUAGGAAAGAUUCUUCGGAUGAUUUCCUAUUUGACUGAGCGGCGGACGGGUGAGUAACGCGUGGGUAACCUGCCUCAUACAGGGGGAUAACAGUUAGAAAUUACUGCUAAUACCGCAUAAGACCACAGCACCGCAUGGUGCAGGGGUAAAAACUCCGGUGGUAUGAGAUGGACCCGCGU
rnacentral:rRNA from 1 species